CCUUGUCAGGUUGUCUGCUUUCUUUCCCUCCAUGUCAUGUCAAUUUUCCAUGUACUUCAUGAUUCUACUCAGGUCACGUUUUUCCUUAUCAUAGUUUCUCGCACGUUCCUGUUCAGAAUCAUAUCGGUGUCUGUUGUCAUAGUUACCACAGUUUAGUUUUCCCCGUUAAGGCUGUAGUUUAGUUUUCGCCCCUGUUCGCCUUUUGCUUUAUUUUGCACUCAUGUAUCAGCCAUAAUAAACGGCUCGCUUUUUGUUUAAGCUUAGUUUUUUCUCCUUUUGGGUCCUCCUUCUCACUCCCCACACAGUCUGCUUCAAUUUUGGUGUGAGUUCCCUGUCUGUAUGGACCAGGCCCUGUAGAAAUGUAAACCUCUGUAACGUCCACUGAGAGUAAACAGAUGGAUGUAACUUUGAGGUCUGAAAACUGAAGCCAAAAAAUCAGGCUUCCUGCCAGGUCCUCUCUAAGGUUGGAUGUAACACCGAUUCUUCCCACUGGCUUCCUGUAAAGCUGAGGGUUCAGUUUAAAGUUCCCUUUCAGAGCUCUUUAAGGUUCAGGACAAAAUCAGACUGUGCACUUAUGAUCUGUGGACACUGAUGAUACCUUUAAGAAGAAGCUUAAGAUCCACUCGUGCUGGGGGUGGAGGACCCACUGCAAGUAGGAGCAUGGAUGACUCCCGAAGCACCUCCUACUUGAUCCCCUGAGGGAUGUAAUCGAAUGGCUUCUCCACAUCCGUAAAACACAUGUUGACUGGUUAAAAUUCAUUGUUCUUUCUGAGUCCAACGAAUGGAAUGGACUUUCCUCCCCAGGACGCUGGCACAGACCUUCCCAGAGAGUUGUAUGAUUCCCCCUUAUCUGGAGCACACCCUCCCUUUCCACUUCUUGAAGACUGAACCACCACCUCCUUCUUCUAAUGCAGAAGCACCGUCUCUCCAUGCAACAUUACAGAGACGUGUAAUCCAAGACAGCCUUACAACAUGCACGGCCUUAACAAACUCAAGCAAUUUGCAUCCAUCGUAAGGACUCUACCACCAAGGAGUUGUUUAGGAAACCUCAGUGAUCUUACACCUGGUGAUGGGUCAGUUGUCUUCCUUGAAGUCAGCAGCAGGCAGGCCGUUCUUCUCAAUCACACCCUUCAGAUCUAACUGUUGUUGCUGGUGUAAGUGUUGAAGUCUCCCAGCAGGACAAUGGAGUUGCCAGUUUGGCAGCCAUUGCACCCGGCGCCUCCAAGAACGCUGGAAUUUUCUUUUGGCGCGUAAGCACAAGCGAUACUCAGGACCGAACCUGAAGGUGCAGGAGAACAACCCUUCAUCUAUAAGGCAAAAAACCUAACAUAGAGACAGCAACCCAUGGAGAUAGAAGUAUCUUGUUGAAAGUCAUGUGAGGGAAUCCAUGGAAAGGACUGCUUACAGGUGGAAAUGGUUAGCCUGUCCGAAUGCUGUAGAAAAAUGCACUUAUCAGUAUCUCUAAAGUUAGUUUUUUAACAUGUAUGAUUCCAGUUUGUUUUAAAUCUCCACAUAAAUGUCCGUUAACAGGGUUAUGUAUCAGACUAUUUCUUUGCCAGAACCUGUAACUUCCCACUAUUUUCUCAUGAACGUGAGGUUGAGGCUAUGAUAAUAAAUGGCACUCUUUUG